AUCGAACGCUGGCGGCAGGCCUAACACAUGCAAGUCGAGCGAGCGGCGGACGGGUGAGUAAUGUAUGGGGACUGCCCGAUAGAGGGGGAUAACUACUGGAAACGGUAGCUAAUACCGCAUACUAUCCGAUACCCCAUAGGGGUUUGGCUAGUCGGUGAGGUAAUGGCUCACCUAGUCGACGAUCCCUAGCUGGUCUGAGAGGAUGAUCAGCAACACUGGGACUGAGAAACGGCCCAGACUCCUACGGAGGCAGCAGUGGGGAAUAUUGCACAAUGGGCGAAAGCCGGAUGCAGCCAUGCCGCGUGUAUGAAGAAGGCCCUAGGGUUGUAAAGUACUUUCAGUCGGGAGGCGUUACCGAAAGAAGAAGCACCGGCUAACUCCGUGCCAGCAGCCGCGGUAAUAC
rnacentral:rRNA from 1 species